AAGAAAACCAGCAUUUAAUAAAUUAUUCAGUGGUAUCAUAAGACAUACUCAAAUUUCCCCAGUUAUCCCUAAAAUAUUCUUCAAUUCUGGAUCCGAUCAAGUUUCACCUGUUACAUUUGGCGAUAAUAUCUUUUUAGUUGGUAGCUGUUGAUUUAGAAGUGGCCUCUUCCUCUUUCUGCUCUUCACAGUAUGGACUCCUUUGAGGAGCACUGCCAGAUGUUCGGUAUCCUAGCUUCACCGGAUUAUUUCCUGGUCAUGUUCAGGCCCUAAAUUUCUAGAAAAUCUCACAGAUGCUCACCUAAUAGUUUUUAAGUAAUGAUAGAUUACUUAAGUAGAGAACUGGGAAAUUUUCCUUUGUCAGUCAGAAUAGAAUUUUUUUGAAAUCUAGAUUCCUCCUGAUUUAUUUCUUAAUUGUUAAAGAUACAAUAAAAAAUUCAUUGCUCUUCAUCCCUCAUUUUCACUUUAAAGACAGCAAGUGGAUCUAAAAGCAAUUAUAAUUUUAUAUAUAUGAAUUAUUUAUCAUCACCUAAGGUAGAUAAAAUAUUUUAUAGAAUACUCUUAUAUACUCUUAUAUGUUAAGAUCUAACUUUUAGACUUUAUUUUUAUUCUUUCAAUGGUAUACAAAGUAUAAAUCCAAGCCAUUCUGUGAAAAACUGCUUUCCUGGGUGAAAAGUAGUAACUGUGCCAAAGUUAUUGUUCUUUCAAGCAGUCAUUCAUAUCACCGUAAUGAUCUCCAGCUUCGCAGUACUCCCUUCAGAUACCUACUCACACCUUUUGUGCAAAAAAGUGUGCAAACUAAAAUAAUGAGCCUUAACUGGGAAGAAAUG